rnacentral:rRNA from 1 species
AACGAACGCUGGCGGCAGGCCUAACACAUGCCAGUCGAGCGAGCAUUUCGGUGCUAGCGGCGGACGGGUGAGUAACGCGUGGGAACGUGCCCUUUUCUGCGGAAUAGUCCUGGGAAACUGGGGGUAAUACCGCAUACGCCCUUUUGGGGAAAGAUUUAUCGGAGAAGGAUCGGCCCGCGUUGGAUUAGGUAGUUGGUGGGGUAAUGGCCCACCAAGCCGACGAUCCAUAGCUGGUUUGAGAGGAUGAUCGGCCACACUGGGACUGAGACACGGCCCAGACUCCUACGGGAGGCAGCAGUGGGGAAUCUUAGACAAUGGGGGCAACCCUGAUCUAGCCAUGCCGCGUGAGUGAUGAAGGCCUUAGGGUUGUAAAGCUCUUUCAGCUGGGAAGAUAAUGACGGUACCAGCAGAAGAAGCCCCGGCUAACUCCGUG